rnacentral:misc_RNA from 1 species
UUUGAUCAAAUUCAUCAAUCACCUGCCAUUUAGUAAAAAGGUCAUGAACAUGACAAAAUGUACUAUCACUCGAAUGUCAAUCAACAUAAAAUAAGAAUGAAUAAUUUGCCAUGUGCACGAGAACCUCUGCCAGGUUCCUUCGUACACUUUUGGCAUCUUUAUUCCGGUAGUUCAAUUUCUUGGGACUAAUGUAGAGUUGACUUUUAUUUGUCAUGUUAUGUACAUUACAUCAGAAUAACCAGAUUAAAACACUGUUUCGCAUUGCAAUUUUAGGGGCAUUUCACUCACCAGUUUCAUUAAAGGGAAAAGAAGCGCUAUUCAAAUUUUUAAGACAAUCUUGAAGAUUGACCAAAAAUUUGAGGUUGAUAAAUGUCAGGGUUUAAUUUAUGCAUUCAGCCUUUUUAUUUAUUUAUUUAUGGCCCAAUAUAUAAAUUCACUCAUGAACUUUACCGAAAACGCCUAGUGGCAACUCAAACUUUCACAAUGUCCUAUCACACACCUCAACUCCUAAACAAUGGAAUUAAGAGAACCCUACAAUUCUCUGACCAGGUAGCGUGUUAUACAAUCAGGAUGAUAUGGAUAAAUGGAGCUGACAUGGACAAGUGAAAACUUAAAAAUAAAGUAAAACAAAAUAGAUGUAAAAAAAGCUAGCCUCUCUCAUCCAGCACCUUUCUCUCGCCUUUUCUACUCAACAAAAUUACUAGAAGAUCAGUGCUCUGUUUCCUAUCCUCCAAGCAAUGGCAUCAGUUUGUCGGCUCUUCAACACCAACAUGCUAUGCCAGUUUGACGACGAUGAAGAUGAACGUGGCAUUGAAGUUGAUUGCCAUUCUGGCUACAACCUCUCUUACCAUAGAGAUGAUUUCUUCUCAUGUAGCUGUCUUUUCAGUCCUUUAUAAG